AGAACGAACGCUGGCGGCAUGCCUAACACAUGCAAGUCGAACGAGACCUUCGGGUCUAGUGGCGCACGGGUGCGUAACGCGUGGGAAUCUGCCCUUGGGUUCGGAAUAACAGCGAGAAAUUGCUGCUAAUACCGGAUGAUGACGUAAGUCCAAAGAUUUAUCGCCCAAGGAUGAGCCCGCGUAGGAUUAGCUUGUUGGUGAGGUAAGAGCUCACCAAGGCGACGAUCCUUAGCUGGUCUGAGAGGAUGAUCAGCCACACUGGGACUGAGACACGGCCCAGACUCCUACGGGAGCAGCAGGUGGGGAAUAGUUGGACAAGUGGGACGAAAGCCUGAUCCAGCAAUCGCCGGCGUGAGUGAGUAGG
rnacentral:rRNA from 1 species